rnacentral:rRNA from 1 species
ACAUCCGUAGCUUGUUUCAUAAGUCUCUUGUGAAAUCCGGCAUCUUAAGUGUCGGGCGUGCAAGAGAUACUGUGGGGCUCGAGACUGGAGGGUGUGAGAAGUACAUUCAAGGUAGUGGUAAAAUACGUUGAUCUUGGGUGGACUAACAAUCGCGAAGGCAUCUCACAAUUACAGACCUGACAGUGAGGGAUGAAGGCUAGGGGCGCAAAAGGGAUUAGAUACCCCUGUAGUCCUAGCAGUAAACACUGCACACUAAACAUCGGGAUCUCCUCGGGAGAUUUCGGUGCUGUAGGGAAGCCGAAGAGUGUGCUACCUGGGAAGUAUAGUCGCAAGGCCGAAACUUAAAGGAAUUGGCGGGGGAGCACAAGCCG